rnacentral:lncRNA from 1 species
UUGGGAAGUGCGCUGAAGCUGAGCACCUAGUACUAACAACCAAGGUAAGGUAGGAUUGGUUUUGGUUUUGGUUCCCUAGGGGUGGUCCGCAGUAUAGUGGCCUAGUAGUAGGGUUUUCCAAAGUUUAAACACUGCUUUUUUAAAGUAAUAGAGAUCAUCCCGAAUAUUGACACGAAAAUUAUGUUAAAAACAAAAAUUAAGCAGAGAAAAGACGUUAAUGUUUAAAAUAUUCACAAAUUGUCUUCAAACAUUCAAAAAGUCAAGGAUUAUGGAAAAGAAGGUAAAGUACAAACUUCACCUAUCGGGCAGGAUAUAAAAAAUUAUUGAAUUUCAAUAAUAUUUAUCGAUUUACUGCAUAAAUUUUGCUUGAACCAACCACAAGUUUCCAAUUUUUGAAUUCUUUUUGAAAUUUUUUUCGAUAAUCUUGACUAAAUGAGUAGAUAUACCAACUUGAUUGUAAGUUUCUAUAAUCUUUAAAAAUCGAAACAAUAUCAAUUUAUUCAUUUAUAUUUUUAUAAAUUUAUAUGUUGAUAUUUCUAUUUAUAUCGAUGUUUUAACCACUAAAUAUAUCAUCCAAACAAUAUAUUCGUUACUCCAAACUGGAGAUGCUGAUCAUUACAUGGUUUUCAGCACGGGUCCUAUCAAACAUUUAUGGUCUCCAAAACCAAAAGUAAAAAAGUAACAAUAAUUUUCACCUAAUUAAUGGCGAAGUCAGAGUUGGGAAAUAUCGGUUUAAUAAAAUUUUUAUUUUAAAGGUGUGCAAGAGAUAUUUGUUAAGGACAUUUUUAGGAGGAACUAGCAUCUGUAAUAAUUUGGUUUUAAUUUGAAUUUACCUAAAGUCUCUUGUAGUAAACCAAGACACAAGCACACUUUUAACACAUCCAAAUCUCUUGACAACUGCUACAUACAUUUGAGUUAAUUUGGUUUUUGUAAUUUGGUUUGGUUUUCUUUUAAAAGUUCUGAAAGAUUAACAAAUUACUGGUAUUGAUCCAACAAAGUAAUUGUGUGACAAUAAGGAUGCAUUGAUAUAAAUAGAGGCAAAACCAGGAUCCAAAAUAGGGUGCUACGAGGGAAGAAUUGUACAACGAAGCAUGAAGUUGUGUCUAGUAUAUCAGGGCUUUUAAAAAACAGAACGAGCCAAGGCCACUGCAAGCCCUAACUAAAGCUCGCCUCUAUUGGAGAUGUAGUACCAGUGUGUAUGUAAAAUGUGAUAAGUAAAGAUUUUGUAUAUUUAAUAUCGAUUUUAAUUUUUUUUACUGUGUCGUUGACACGUGGAAUGAAAAAUAUUGUUUAUUACACUCUUUACCAAUUUUGCAAAAUGUAAUGCUAGAAAAACUAAAUUUGUAGACAAAAUUUACAAACUAAAUGAUGUGUCACCAAUAUGAAUGAGCACAUUUAUCAACGCUUAAGUUACAUCAUCAACUUUCAUAUCAUUUAAUUUACAAAAUCAUGUUUACAAAUUUAGUCUCAUGACAUUAUACGUUUGCAAAUUCAGCUUAAAUCAUAUAUUUACAAGGACCACUAGUUUGUCAUGUUAAAAAAAAUUACAAUAAGAAAUUGAAGGGAAAAAAAAAAGUUGGUGACUUAUUUUCGUGUCAUAACAUAAUUUAAAAAGUAAAAAUAAAAAGAAAAAUUAAUGAAAAAGAUUUAAAAAUUUUGAUUUUUACUGAUAAUAACAAAAUAAAGGGUAAAGUGAAUAGUACAAGAACUGAUUUUUUAGUGUAAAAAUAUGAUUUUUCGUUAAAAUGAACAGUACCGAAAACUUUUCGUUAAAGUUCUUAAAAUAAAAGAGGUCUUUUGUCACGUGACUGUCAACAAGACAAGGUCUUUUGUUUCACGUGAGUUGCAAUAGUGCAGCAACGUCGGCAAAG